rnacentral:rRNA from 1 species
UACGCAGGGUGCGAGCGUUAAUCGGAAUUACUGGGCGUAAAGCGUGCGCAGGCGGUUCGUCGUGUCCGAUGUGAAAGCCCCGGGCUCAACCUGGGAAUGGCAUUGGAAACUGGCGGACUCGAGUGUGGCAGAGGGGGGUGGAAUUCCGCGUGUAGCAGUGAAAUGCGUAGAGAUGCGGAGGAACACCGAUGGCGAAGGCAGCCCCCUGGGUUAACACUGACGCUCAGGCACGAAAGCGUGGGGAGCAAACAGG